rnacentral:lncRNA from 1 species
AGAAAAGGCAGACCCAAAUAGCUUAUCUGAAUCUGAAUGACUUUUUCUCUACGAAUUUACAGCAUACAUCGUAUUUUUUCCUGUUGCCACUGCUAAGAAACAUUGAUUAAAUAGCCUCAUCUUUUUAACUGGGAAAUGAUAGAGCAGAUUGGAAAAGGAAUUUUGGAGCAAGUCUUCUGGGACAUGUCCUCAACUAGACCAUUUUUAAGCAGAUCAACUCCGGAUGCCUUCGCGGAUUUAACUUCCUUUCCCAGAAAAGGCAGCUGAUGUCUCUUGGACCUUCCACCUCUCUCUGCCCGUGGGACUGUCUACUCCACCCCCGUGUUGUCAAGUACAUCUCUAUACCAGCGGACACACCCUUUCCCCAUUAAACCCUUCCUUUCGAUGGGGCCCCGGGGCCAACCUGCCAGGUCAAAGGCGAGUGGAAUUCAACCUGGAUGAGACACCCUAUAUAUCAGUGGAUUCUCUUCAAUCCCCACACCACCCAGUAAAAAGGUCUGGAUGGAGAAUGAAUGCUUGAGAUCAGAAACGAGAAGUUUCAAACAGUUUUGCAGUGGCCACAACUGAAAAAGAAGGGAGCCUGGAUGUGGCAUCAACUUGCAGUGUGCCAGUGAGCAAGUUUUUACAUUUGUUUUCCCGUCUAGAAAAUGAUGACUAUCAAGCUUAUCUGUUUCCUAGGGAUGUUGUGGGAGGGAG